ACGAACGCUGGCGGCGUGCUUAACACAUGCCAGUCGCACGGAAAGGCCCUGCUUUUGUGGGGUGCUCGAGUGGCGAACGGGUGAGUAACACGUGAGUAACCUGCCCUUGACUUUGGGAUAACUUCAGGAAACUGGGGCUAAUACCGGAUAGGAGCUCCUGCUGCAUGGUGGGGGUUGGAAAGUUUCGGCGGUUGGGGAUGGACUCGCGGCCUAUCAGCUUGUUGGUGGGGUAGUGGCUUACCAAGGCUUUGACGGGUAGCCGGCCUGAGAGGGUGACCGGCCACAUUGGGACUGAGAUACGGCCCAGACUCCUACGGGAGGCAGCAGUGGGGAAUAUUGCACAAUGGGCGGAAGCCUGAUGCAGCAACGCCGCGUGCGGGAUGACGGCCUUCGGGUUGUAAACCGCUUUCGCCUGUGACGAAGCGUGAGUGACGGUAAUGGGUAAAGAAGCACCGGCUAACUACGUG
rnacentral:rRNA from 1 species